rnacentral:rRNA from 1 species
GAUGAACGCUGGCGGCGUGCUUAACACAUGCAAGUCGAACGAUGAAGCCCAGCUUGCUGGGUGGAUUAGUGGCGAACGGGUGAGUAACUCGUGAGUAACCUGCCCUUAACUCUGGGAUAAGCCUGGGAAACUGGGUCUAAUACCGGAUAGGAGCGUCCACCGCAUGGUGGGUGUUGGAAAGAUUUAUCGGUUUUGGAUGGACUCGCGGCCUAUCAGCUUGUUGGUGAGGUAAUGGCUCACCAAGGCGACGACGGGUAGCCGGCCUGAGAGGGUGACCGGCCACACUGGGACUGAGACACGGCCCAGACUCCUACGGGAGGCAGCAGUGGGGAAUAUUGCACAAUGGGCGAAAGCCUGAUGCAGCGACGCCGCGUGAGGGAUGACGGCCUUCGGGUUGUAAACCUCUUUCAGUAGGGAAGAAGCGAAAGUGACGGUACCUGCAGAAGAAGCACCGGCUAACUACGUG